rnacentral:rRNA from 1 species
GCAAACAGGAUUAAUACCUGUUAGUCCACGCCCUAAACGAUGAAUACUAGAUGUUUGGGUUGCCCAAGCGUACUGAGUGUCGUUAGCUAACGCGAUUAAAGUAUUUCCCGCCCUUGGGAAGUACGGCCGCAAGGUUAAAAACUCAAAGGAAUUGACGGGGGCCCGCACAAGCGGUGGAGCAUGUGGUUUAAUUCGAUGCAACGCGAAGAACCUUACCUGGNGCUUGACAUGUCUGGAAUCCUGCACGAGAUGCGGGAGUGCCCCUUCGGGGAAUCAGAACACAGCGUGCUGCAUCGGCUGUCGUCAUGCUCGUGUCGUGAGAUGUUGGGUUAAGUCUCCGCAACGAGGCGCAACCCUUGUCUCUUAGUUGCCACGCGGUUCGCGCCGGGCACAUUUAGGGAAGCUGCCGGUACCAACCCGAGGAGAAGUUGGGAAUAACCUUCCAAGUCUUCAUGCCCUUUAUGUCCAGGGCUACACACGUGCUACAAUGGCGCGUACAGAGGGAAGCCAAGCCGCGAGGUGGAGCAGACCCCAGAAAGCGCGUCGUAGUUCGGAUUGCAGUCUGCAACUCGACUGCAUGAAGUCGGAAUCGCUAGUAAUCGCUGGAUCAGCAUGCCGCGGUG